CGACUUAGCUCAGUAGGUAGAGCAACUGACUUGUAAUCAGUAGGUCACCAGUUCGAUUCC
rnacentral:tRNA from 1 species